CAAAGUAUAGCUAAAUAAGUUAAAGCAUCUCCCUUACACUGAGAAGUUAUCCGUGCAACUCGGAUUACCUUGA
rnacentral:tRNA from 1 species